GUGAGAAGAUUGAACUUGAACGAUCUCUCUCUCUCUCUCUCUCUCUCUCUCGGGUGUGUGUGUGUGUGUGAGAGAGAGAGAGAGAGAGAGAGAGAGAGAGAAAGUUAAUUUGCUCCU
rnacentral:miRNA from 1 species